ensembl:lncRNA
GUCCCGCCCGGAGCGGGCGCGAGUCCGGGGCGCCCGGGCCGCGGCGCGGGGCGGCGGCAGGGGCCUGGCGGAGGCCGCCGGGCGGCCGCCAUGCGAUCAGGCAGUGCGCUGACCGGCCCGGCCGGUCGGCCCCUUCUGGGUCCUCCCUUUGCAGCCCGUGCGGGGCCGUCUCGGAGACCCCGCGCCGACGGCUGCUCAAACAUCAGGGGAAUCUUCUCAACCCAGGGAUUGAACCUGCAACUCCUUCAUUAGCAGGCGGAUUCUUUACCACUGAGCCACCGGGGAAGCCCUUCCAUAAAGCAUGUGGGAUCUUGGUUCCCCCGCCCCCUGCAUUGGAAGGCAGAGUCUUAACCACUGGACCGCCAGAGAAGUUCCCCCUUGCUUCAAAUUGUGAACAGCUGAAUCGAGAUAGAGUGCACGCACCACAGAAUCCCCCCAUUUAAGGAGUAUGAUUCAUUGGUGUUUCGUACGUUCACAGAGCUGUGCAGCCGUCCCCAAUCUGGUUCCAGAACGUUUUCAUCCUCCCUAAUAGAAACCCCAGUUCCCUUAGUUGCUGACCAUUUCCCCUGCCCUCCAGCCCCUGGGAACCCCUAAUCUGCGCUCUGCCUCUUACAGGCUUGCCUCUUCUGGACGUUUUAUAUAAACAGAACCCACCACUGUGCGGC